AUUGAACGCUGGCGGCGUGCUUAACACAUGCAAGUCGAGCGGUAACAGGCGUAGCAAUACGUGCUGACGAGCGGCGAACGGGUGAGUAAUGCUUCGGAAUCUGCCCAGUAAUGGGGAAUAACCAACCGAAAGGUUGGCUAAUACCGCAUACGUCCCUUGGCCGUACUGGCCAUUGGAGAAAGCGGGGGAUCGCAAGACCUCGCGUUAUUGGAUGAGCCGAAGUCGGAUUAGCUAGUUGGUGAGGUAACGGCUCACCAAGGCGGCAAUCCGUAGGUGGUAAGGGAGGCCGACCAGCCACGAUGGGAAUGAGACACGGCCCAGACUCCUACGGGAGGCAGCAGUGGGGAAUAUUGGACAAUGGGGGCAACCCUGAUCCAGCGACGCCGCGUGUGUGAAGAAGGCCUGCGGGUUGUAAAGCACUUUUAGUGGGGAUGAAAAGCCAUCGGCUAAUACCUGGUGGUCUUGACCUAACCAAAAGAAAAAGCACCGGCUAACUCUGUGCCAGCCGCCGCCGUAAUAC
rnacentral:rRNA from 1 species